UUUAUCACUUACAGCAUUAGAACACCCCCAGUAAUCUAAUUCUAAAGUGUUCUGGGGGUGGAACCUUUGAAGCUACUUCCUCGGUUUCAGAAUUACAAGCUCCUAUCUUCCUAAAAUAAUGGCUUCGCUUUCUCUCAACGUGGUUUCAGUUCCACCAAGAACAACAACAAUCUCAAGCACAAGAACAAGGGUGCCUUCACUUCCUUUCUCAUUCACUAGUAGGUUGACUCACCACAGCACUUUCUGGUUUUCUUGGUUGUUGAAAGACUACAACAUUGGGUUUUGCAAAGUGCCAUUUUUAGUGUUCUUAGGGAGGAGGUUAACUAUUAGAGCAACAGAAACCGAUACAAAUAAUGUUAAGUCUCAGGCACCGGAUAAGGCUCCUUCGAAAGACGGUUCAAGCAUCAAUCAGCUUCUUGGUAUUAAAGGAGCUGCUCAAGAAUCAAAUAAAUGGAAGAUUCGCCUUCAACUUACAAAACCUGUCACUUCAGUCUAUUAGACGUAUGGGUGGGCUGGUCAGGCUUUGUUUGGGACACUCACAUCAGACAUUAUUGUCCUGACGUUGCUAUACAGCAUUGCUGGAUUGGGCAUUGCCAUCGUCAACGACUUCAAGGGUGUUGAAGGGGAUAGAGCUCUUGGGCUUCAGGUCAAUUCUGUUACCCUCUUCCUUUCCAUUACUGUAACAUGAAAUUUCAAUUUUUUUCAGAAAUUUUGGUCUUGCAAAUUCACUAACACUCAAGUUGAUGCUCUUACCUUUUCUAUUGGCAAUCUAAUAUGCACAGUCUCUUCCGGUUGCUUUCGGUACUGAAACUGCAAAAUGGAUCUGUGUUGCUGCUAUUGACAUUAAGAUUACACAAUUAUCUGUCGCUGUAUAUUUUUUAUCCCUCCAAUACUUAGAUAUUUGAUCUGCAUUCCAAGGUUCUUUUUCGUUUUAAUGUACAUUGUACUCUAUCUGGAAAUUAUUCAUCAUACUAAACCAUUAUUCUGUAUCUUUAUUAUU